ensembl:lincRNA
AGUAGACUGAACUGAAUGGGGGAAGCAAUGAUAGUGGAAGAAAUAAUAGCAUAUUCUUGGGGAAAAAAUUGGUGAGGGGGCCAAAAAAACAAACAAGAAAAGGUAAAAAUGAAAUAAGAUUCUGGAUGCUGAGUCUUAACAGGUUGGGGUCCUGCACCCGUUUGUGAGUAUUAUGCUAUCACUUGGCAUAUAAGAUCUGAGAUCUGCUGAGACUCAUCCUAGGUCCUCUCAGGGGGAUUAUGGAUACCAGAGUGAACAUUUCCAGCUUUAUUUUCCAGAGAACUUUUCAUCCUGAAGGUUGGCUUCUGUCUAACAUUGGCAUGUGUUUGACACUUCAUUAAAUUCCCCAUUUCAGUGGGCAGAAGUGAGAGUACACAGCCGGUACUGUGGUAGUUGUGCAAAAUCUUAGGUUAGGCAAAACUGUGCAGGGCAAAAUCAUAAAGUAAAAAAAGGGCCCCAAGAAUUCUUUUCCUGCAGUGGAGUUACUCAAGAUAUAGCCAACCUCUUUCAGGUCUAGCGUUAAUCUUAACUAAACUUAUAAAGAUUUCUCAGGCUCCAUACUAUAUUCAUAGCUUCCAGGGAGAAGUAAAUCACUAUCAAAUUUUGUGUAGAUAUAGGGUCUUUCAAAGGGACUCAUUGGCCAAAUAUAAUUUUUCCAUUGGAUUUAUCUGAAGAGUAAGGCAAUGUGGGUCUUCAUGGCUCCUUAGCUGGUCCACAUCAAACAGACAGUGUGAAGCCAUUGGCGGUCAUUGUACCUCCUACUAGCUAGAUUACACUGGAAUAGUGUCACAUUUUACUAACACUCCGCAGAAAACUUUCCUUGACUGUACUGCCUCGCUUUCAUGGGAUGGUGUCCAGGAUAAGCAGGGAAAAUAUUUCCCUCCCCCCUCCUAUUUUAUCUGAGUUUGCUCAAGGAACUGAAAUCAUCAUGUUCUGAGCCACAUGCCAUGUUCAAGGCCUCCAACGAGCACACAGAAAACUCUGAGGAAUCGUUAUUCAGUGACUUUGCCAUUUGCAAGCCUGUGGAAUUCAGGUGCCCACAGGAAGAAGUGGAGAGGUUUUUCCAGCCUGACCGUAUCAGCCGCGUCACCACAAGAACCUUCUGUUUUGGCUGAAGUCCUUCUAUCAGACUCAGGCUGUUCCUUGUGGCCAAGUUACUGCUCCCCUGAAGAGAAAUUCUCUAAUGACUACAGAUGGGUCCCAAGAACAAAGAGAUACAAUUGCAACCAGGAUGUCUUGUGGAUAAGAGGGUGAGCAUCACCUACUCAGUGGAUGUGAAUCUGAGCAAACUUCAGGAGACAAUGAAGGACAGGGGAGCCUGGCAUGCUGCAGUCUGUCCAUGAAGUCUCGAAGGGUCAGACAUGACUUAAUGACUGAACAAUAAAGGGUGAGUUUUCACUGGACAUAGACCUGGGUAGUGAGGGUUUAUACCAACCAACUUGAUCUUUUUAAAAAAACAAUUUUAUUUGUUUAUUUUUGGCUGUG